UACGUAGGGGGCAAGCGUUGUCCGGAUUUAUUGGGCGUAAAGAGCGUGUAGGCGGCUUUACAGGUCCGUUGUGAAAACUCGAGGCUCAACCUCGAGACGCCGGUGGAAACCGUAAAGCUAGAGUCCGGAAGAGGAGAGUGGAAUUCCUGGUGUAGCGGUGAAAUGCGCAGAUAUCAGGAAGAACACCCGUGGCGAAGGCGGCUCUCUGGGACGGUACUGGACGCUGAGACGCGAAAGCGUGGGGAGCGAACAGG
rnacentral:rRNA from 1 species